CUCCCUCCCUCCCUCGGCUUGAUGAAGGUGGGUGUGAGAUCCCACAGGACUGUCUGGAAGAGAGCCCGUGGAAGUCACUGUAUUUUGCAGAAGCUGGAGGCGAAGCAGAAGAAUCUGGACACUUUCUAACUUGGAACAAAUCACACAGACAAAAUGAAGAUAAAAUGCCCCCAUCCAGGUUGCAGCCUGACACUUCUGCCUCUUUUCCCUCUGGGUAUAUCUUACUGGGUCUUUGCAGGUCAUGGCUGGACUGUUGGAAGUGUCUGUCCACUGCAAGAAAUUUGAAGUAACAAAAUGGCCUCCUUAAUCAGGAAUCAGUUUCCAUCACAUUCUUGGGAGCUAAGCACCCAGUGGUGGGGUAACUGAAACAAACCGAAGAGACUGAUGGAAAAAAAAUCAAAAAGCAAGGGCGGAAUUUCAAAGCCUGGAUCAUAGAAGAAGGAAUGCUGCAUGACACCACUUGGACUUGAACUUUGUACAAGGAUGGGUCAAUUUGGCACCCAGGAGCUGGGGCCAUUCCACAGCCCUUUGUACAUGGGUCCUGUCGGGGAAGAACUGGUUUCUGGGGAGUGAUCUGAUUCCCAGGCUCAGAUUAUUUAUUAAGGUUGCUUCAUAGCCACACAUUGAAGGUUUAUUAGAUUGUAGAGGUAGAAACUGUUGUAACUAUUCUAAGGGUAGAAACUGUUGUUUGCUGACCUACCUAGUGUUUUAGGCUGGUAUUAUCCCUAGGGAAUACACUCAGAACUAUCAUUUUGUGCCUUUGUCUAAACAGAUUCCAGCUGUAACAGUGUUCCACACUCCCACCCGAGUCAUCUGAAACUGCUGAGGCAGAGCUGAGAACAGAAAUCCAGAGGAGAGACAGUGCCCUUACGCAAUGUUCCAAGUGAGUGCAGAGAAGAGAAAUUGACCAACACCUUUCUGUUCAAGAAUAACCGCAUAUGACAUGACUCCAAGGGGGAAAAUAGAACAAGGCUACGGUGGCCGAGGAAUUCAAGACAGCAGCUGGAAAAGAACUGUUUUGAAAGCCCAGUGGUGUUUCACCCCAUCUCUGUAAUGGUGGGGACAUCACAUAUCCUUUGGUGAUUUCUCAAAGACAAGGAUAACCUAAGUUAA
rnacentral:lncRNA from 1 species